GAUUCAGGUUGCUAGCCAAGCAUUCAUAGCGACGUUGCUUUUUGAUCCUUCGAUSUCGGCUCUUCCUAUCAUACCGAAGCAGAAUUCGGUAAGCGUUGGAUUGUUCACCCACUAAAUAGGGAACGUGAGCUUCCAUGCAUUUAAAGCAGGGUAGGUAGAUU